AUUGAACGCUGGCGGCAGGCUUAACACAUGCAAGUCGAGCGGGGUAAUGGUGCUUGCACUAUCACUUAGCGGCGGACGGGUGAGUAAUGCUUAGGAAUCUGCCUAUUAGUGGGGACAACAUCUCGAAAGGGAUGCUAAUACCGCAUACGUCCUACGGGAGAAAGCAGGGGAUCACUUGUGACCUUGCGCUAAUAGAUGAGCCUAAGUCGGAUUAGCUAGUUGGUGGGGUAAAGGCCUACCAAGGCGACGAUCUGUAGCGGGUCUGAGAGGAUGAUCAGCCACACUGGGACUGAGACACGGCCCAGACUCCUACGGGAGGCAGCAGUGGGGAAUACUGGACAAUGGGGGGAACCCUGAUCCAGCCAUGCCGCGUGUGUGAAGAAGGCCUUAUGGUUGUAAAGCACUUUAAGCGAGGAGGAGGCUCUUUUGGUUAAUACCCAGAAUGAGUGGACGUUACUCGCAGAAUAAGCACCGGCUAACUCUGUGCCAGCCGCCGCCGUAAUAC
rnacentral:rRNA from 1 species